CACCCCGGGUUCCAGCGCCAUCACUGAUCGCCGUACUAACGAGGCCUGUGGCCGC
rnacentral:rRNA from 1 species